AGCAGCCGCGGUAAUUCCAGCUCCAAUAGCGUAUAUUUAAGUUGUUGCAGUUAAAAAGCCGUAGUUGAACUUCAGGCCCGGUCGGACGGUCCGCCUUCUGGGUGUGUACUGUCUCGGUGGGUCCUACCUUCUGGCGAAGCGGCAUGGCCUUAAUUGACCGUGUCGGGAACCAGGACUUUACUGUGAAAAAUUAGAGUGUUCAAAGCAGGCAUGUUAGCUUGAAU
rnacentral:rRNA from 1 species